AUUGAACGCUGGCGGAAUGCUUUACACAUGCAAGUCGAACGGUAGAGGGGGCAACCCCUUGAGAGUGGCGAACGGGUGAGUAAUAUAUCGGAACGUGCCCAGUCGUGGGGAUAACGUAGCGAAAGUUACGCUAAUACCGCAUACGAUCUAAGGAUGAAAGCGGGGGAUCGCAAGACCUCGCGCGAUUGGAGCGGCCGAUAUCAGAUUAGGUAGUUGGUGAGGUAAAGGCUCACCAAGCCAACGAUCUGUAGCUGGUCUGAGAGGACGACCAGCCACACUGGAACUGAGACACGGUCCAGACUCCUACGGGAGGCAGCAGUGGGGAAUUUUGGACAAUGGACGCAAGUCUGAUCCAGCCAUUCCGCGUGCAGGAUGAAGGCCCUCGGGUUGUAAACUGCUUUUGUACGGAACGAAAAGGUUUCUAUUAAUACUAGGAGCUCAUGACGGUACCGUAAGAAUAAGCACCGGCUAACUACGUGCCAGCAGCCGCGGUAAUG
rnacentral:rRNA from 1 species